AGAGGUGGGAUAAGGGAUAAGAAUUGAUCUUCGGAAGAUCAACCGAGCAGAGAAUAUCGAAGGUCAAGCUCGUUUUAAAUAGCGUACUGGCGCUUUUCUAAACGGUCUUCGAUUGAAGAAGCAUUAUUGAACUGCAAUUUAAAUAGUAUUGCAAAAUAGUUACCUGCUUUGAAACCAGCAGAAAAAAAACAUUGACGGUUUCCAAGGACAAAUACUCACUGCUCGGUUCCGAUUGAGGGCAUCUGUUUCGGGGUGGUAGAUUGACUAUACGAGUGAUGGAGUGGAUAAGGAGAUUCAUAGCCUGGAUAAAAUACUGGUAUUUCCAGUGGGAGUUAGCCAGCAUGCUGGUAGUGAUGGACCCGAUAGAAAAAUACUUCUUUCAUGCCUUUACAUUGAUAUUACUCGCUGUUGUGAUAUAUUCAACUGUGUCCCUCAUAUCCGGGAUCAUGCCCUAUCUGUCAAUAUCCGUCCAGAAAUAUUUAACAACAUAGGAAACCAUCAGUGAAUAAGUAAUAAACGUCUGCCCUAAAAGUAUGGGGGUACGGGAAACAGCAAACACGCCACAAAUGUUACCUCUGACAGAGUUCGGGGUUACAGUGAACUACAUGUACAUCGAGGUCAGACCUUUGAGAAGAUAAUUAUGUGUAUCCCCGAAAAAUCACACCAGCUUCAGUGUUCAACGAUAAACGUAGAAACAUUCAUUGUUUACUCUCAGAUGUUUGUAUUUCAUUUUAUAAUGGACCUAUCAUCUUCAAUGUUUUGUGUACAAUGGACUAAACCAAUGCUUGCAAUAUUACUCAUAUCUGCUUUCUGUAUUGACUGUCCAUGCAUUGCUUUUCGAUGGUGCCCACAUUUUGUCUUCAUUCAUAAUAAAUGUUUUUAUUGUGGACUCCGAUUGCAAAAUAUUCUUUCAUGGGCCCACUUUUCUGUUCAGUGUCCUGUUAUCACCGUUUUCUUUUAAAGACGGUACACAUCAUGAAGUAUUUUACAAUCUUAGGACACUGCACUUCCUCUCCAUUGUGAUUUGUAGAAAAUGCAUGAUGUGAAAAUUCUAAUUUGUUUCAUUGGUUGAAAUUUUGUUCAACGCAAGGGAGAUAAUUUGCUGGUGAUCUGAAUUCAAUAAAUAACAGAAAUAGUCUUCUUUGUACGCAAACCUCAAAAUUCUUCUCGAAAAAAUUUGAGCAAUUCAAAGCUAUUUAGUAUAUUUUGUUUCUUGCUGUGUGAAAAGUAAAUAUCAUUUUAUUAAUCACACUGAA